UUUUGUUCUGGUUAUGUGCGCAUGUGUGUGUAUGACAGUGUGGCCCCACCUGUCAUCCUCCCCUAGCCUCUGUUUUUUUUAUUUAUUUAUUUUAUUCCCCAGCGAAUAUACCAUUUCUGGCAUGUAGAACAUUUCCAUUUCGGGCAAGUCCUUUUCUGGACGUUUCCAAUUAUGGAAAAAUGCCAUUUCUGUCAUUUUCCUUUUCAGGCAGGUUUUAACUUAAUGCACUUGUGAAUAUUUUUCUACAGCAACCCUAACAUAUUAUAUAUGUUUUUGGGGUAGAAAAAUCCCACCAAUCCAGUGGUGCCAUUAGUUUCUGCAUUUGAGCAAGUUCAUGAACAUGUCAUUUUACAUCAUGAUGUUGUCUUGUCAUUUUUGUGUGUUUUAUUUCAAGCAUGCUAUGAGGUUGUUUUGCACAAGGAUAGCUUCAUUUUCAUGCCUACUUCAUGCUAGUACUUGUUCCAUGCCAUGAUAUGCCUGAUAGUGAGUUAAUCAAGCUUGUAAAGAUGCCAUGUUGAAUCUGUUUUUGCCAUGCCCUGUACUUUCACUAAGUCUGGAACUGUUAAUAAAACUUGCUAUGUUUACAUGAGUGCCAUCAUUUCUCAUGGUCCUUUUUGGCUUAUGGUCAGUAAGGGACUAUUGAUCUAUGCUUUGAGUAGAUUCAUGUCAUGCCUUGUUUGGCUAUUAUAAGUUCCUGUAGCAUGUUGUUUGCUUGCUCUAAAUAUGCCUUCCUGAUGUUAAUUUCUGGCAUGCUAGUAUUUUCACUAAGUCUGUGAACCUGAUAAUUUUUGCACUUUCACCAUGCUUGUUUGAACAUGUUAUGAUGUGAUUUAGCCGUAGCUCAGUGUUCCUCUUUUGUUAAGCAUCUCCUGUAGAUCACUGCCAUAUGCUUUGUUUUUAUGUUGGGGUGCUGUAGCAUAGUUUCUUGUUGCUUGAUAAGUGGCAUCGUGCUGUUAAACGCAGAUUUGCGUCAUCCUUGUUUUGCUUGUCAUUUGCAAACCGUGCAUCCUAUUCCGGCGAUCUUUAUAUCGAUUUCAACCGAAACCAUCUCAUCUUUCCAGCGGCAUACUUGGUUUGCCAAGUUAAUGCCCGGUUCAUCAUUUUCCUUCCGGAGCACACAUAUGCAUUGCAUAUCACAUCUCGCAUCGCAUGUCAUGUAUUGCAUCAUAUUGCUUGUGCAUUGUUCCUUGUUUGAUUGUGGUUCCGUUGCUUGUGUUCUUGCUUUGGGUAGAGCCGGGAGACGAGUACGUGAACGAGGAACCUGUUGAGAACGCCUACGAGGAUCAAGCCUUCGACAACUCUGAGAACCUUGCAGGCAAGAUGACCAUACCUUCG
rnacentral:lncRNA from 1 species